AUUGAACGCUGGCGGAAUGCUUUACACAUGCAAGUCGAACGGCAGCACGGACUUCGGUCUGGUGGCGAGUGGCGAACGGGAGAGUAAUGUAUCGGAACGUGCCCAGUCGUGGGGGAUAACGUAGUGAAAAUUACGCUAAUACCGCAUACGAUCUAUGGAUGAAAGCGGGGGAUCGCAAGACCUCGCGCGAUUGGAGCGGCCGAUAUCAGAUUAGGUAGUUGGUGGGGUAAAGGCCCACCAAGCCAACGAUCUGUAGCUGGUCUGAGAGGACGACCAGCCACACUGGAACUGAGACACGGUCCAGACUCCUACGGGAGGCAGCAGUGGGGAAUUUUGGACAAUGGGCGAAAGCCUGAUCCAGCCAUUCCGCGUGCAGGAUGAAGGCCCUCGGGUUGUAAACUGCUUUUGUACAGAACAAAAAGGUUUCUACUAAUACUAGGAGCUCAUGACGGUACUGUAAGAAUAAGCACCGGCUAACUACGUGCCAGCAGCCGCCGUAA
rnacentral:rRNA from 1 species